AACGAACGCUGGCGGCAGGCCUAACACAUGCAAGUCGAACGCCCGUAGCAAUACGGGAGUGGCAGACGGGUGAGUAACGCGUGGGAACGUGCCCUUCGGUUCGGAAUAACUCAGGGAAACUUGAGCUAAUACCGGAUACGUCCGUAAGGAGAAAGAUUUAUCGCCGAAGGAUCGGCCCGCGUCGGAUUAGCUAGUUGGUGAGGUAACGGCCCACCAAGGCGACGAUCCGUAGCUGGUCUGAGAGGAUGAUCAGCCACACUGGGACUGAGACACGGCCCAGACUCCUACGGGAGGCAGCAGUGGGGAAUAUUGGACUAANGGGCGAAAGCCUGAUCCAGCCAUGCCGCGUGAGUGAAGAAGGCCUUAGGGUUGUAAAGACCC
rnacentral:rRNA from 1 species